CGUGCUUAACACAUGCAAGUCGAACGCUGAAGCCUGGCUUUGUGUUGGGUGGAUGAGUGGCGAACGGGUGAGUAACACGUGAGUAACCUGCCCUCUUCUUCGGGAUAACGGUCUGAAAGGGCUGCUAAUACCGGGUAUUCACUGGUCCUCGCAUGGGGGUUGGUGGAAAGGUUUUUUCUGGUGGGGGAUGGGCUCGCGGCCUAUCAGCUUGUUGGUGGGGUGAUGGCCUACCAAGGCUUUGACGGGUAGCCGGCCUGAGAGGGUGACCGGUCACAUUGGGACUGAGAUACGGCCCAGACUCCUACGGGAGGCAGCAGUGGGGAAUAUUGCACAAUGGGCGCAAGCCUGAUGCAGCGACGCCGCGUGAGGGAUGGAGGCCUUCGGGUUGUGAACCUCUUUCGCCCGUGGUCAAGCCGCAACGUGGGGUUG
rnacentral:rRNA from 1 species